rnacentral:misc_RNA from 1 species
GUUGUAAAUCAUGUCUGAAUG